rnacentral:rRNA from 1 species
ACUUACGUCCAUACCAACCUGGCUAUGACCGAUCUCGUUUGAUCUCGGAAGCUAAGCAGGUUUGGGCCUGGUUAGUACUUGGAUGGGAGACCGCCUGGGAAUACCAGGUGCUGUAAGCU